rnacentral:lncRNA from 1 species
GUGACAGGAGCGAAAUCACUGAAGCGAAAGUAGAAUGGGCGAGACAUUUGGACAUAUACUCGGCUUGUUCGACAGUCUCACAAAAACAGCACAGCCAUGCUUCUUUAAAAAGUGCUAAUUCUAUGCUGGAUUCAAUUGAUUUGAAAAGAGAACCUCUUUUUUCAGUACAAAGGUUUGAUAAGCAGAGAAAGCUGAAUGAUGUGUCGAAUAAAAGCCAGGCAUCAAUGACUGAACCAAUUUAUUUCGACUUUGAAGACUUUGCCACUGAACAACAGUAAGAUAUUUAUACAAACUGUGUCCCUUUAUGUCUUGUAAUUUACACUUCCUAUUCCUG